UUUCCAGACUCCUACGGGAGGCAGCAGUGAGGAAUAUUGGUCAAUGGGCUUACGCCUGAACCAGCCAAGUCGCGUGAGGGAAGACUGCCCUAUGGGUUGUAAACCUCUUUUGUCAGGGAGCAACGCCGGCUACGUGUAGCCGGACUGAGAGUACCUGAAGAAAAAGCAUCGGCUAACUCCGUGCCAGCAGCCGCGGUAAUACGGAGGAUGCGAGCGUUAUCCGGAUUUAUUGGGUUUAAAGGGUGCGUAGGCGGAAUGCCAAGUCAGCGGUAAAAUCGCGGGGCUCAACCUCGCUCCGCCGUUGAAACUGGCGUUCUUGAGUGGGCGAGAAGUAUGCGGAAUGCGUGGUGUAGCGGUGAAAUGCUUAGAUAUCACGAAGAACUCCGAUUGCGAAGGCAGCCUACUAAACUGCCACUGACAUUGAUGCUCGAAAGUGUGGGUAUCAAACAGGAUUAGAUACCCCUGUAU
rnacentral:rRNA from 1 species